rnacentral:rRNA from 1 species
AUUGAACGCUGGCGGCAGGCCUAACACAUGCAAGUCGAACGCGUGGCGGACGGGUGAGUGAUGUCUGGGAAACUGCCCGACGGUGGGGGAUAACAACUGGACACGGUAGCUAAUACCGCCUAUCCUGGGAUGUGCCGAGAUGGGGUUAGCUAGUGGGUGGGGUAAUGGAUCACCUAGGCGACGAUCCGUAGCUGGGGUGAGAGGAUGGACAGGCACACCGGAACUGAGACAAGGUCCAGACUACUACGGUAGGCGGGGGUGGAGAAAAGUGCACAAUGGGCGGAGGGCUGGUGCAGCCAUGCCGCGUGGAUGAAGGGGGCCUUGGGGUUGUAAAGUACUUUCAGCGAGGAAGCGUUAUUAGAAGAAUAAGGACCGGCUAACUCCGUGCCAGCAGCCGCGGUAAUUC